UCAAAGCUUCUAGUGCAGUCACUUUCUAGUCAUUUUAGAACCCAGAGCAGUGUGACGAUUUGAUGCUUAAGUUUCAACACGUUUUAUUAAUCCAUUCUUCUUGUGCUUCAUUUAAAAUAUUGGAAACUAUAAAAAGAUCAGCGUGUUAAUCCUCUGCCAGGAAACGGGAAAAAAAAGUUAAAAACCUAACAACAACACGAAAAGAGCAAGAGCGCUGGAAUCUCAGCUUUGAGGAAACACAUGGGAUGAAAGCAUCCGCCCAAGCUCUAACCAUUUGUCACAUGGGACUCUUCCCCUCGGGGGUGAAUCCUGGAUGUCCCCAGGAUGGAGCGAGGAGGUCGUGCGUGCGGGCGAGUGUGUGACUGCAGGGGGCCUUGGCGGCGCGAGGAGGCGACGCCGCCCCCUCCCUCAGGCGCAGGGAGGGUCUUCCAGGAAGCGGCGGAUCUCUGCUGACUCCGCGGCUGCGGGCCCCGGGCUGCGGCCGCCCAGGCCGGCACGUAGCGCCGAGCGUGACUCAGCGCUGACUCAUCCGACUCGCUGCCAGUGGAUUUCCCCCGUCAGCUGCUCGCGCUACUCCUGUCGCCGGGAGCUCGCAGGACUUCGCAGAUACCGCUGCCUCCUUAGUCUUUCCUGAAUAGCAGAGCAGUCCUGUCGCUUUAAACAGAGCAAGGCAGCUUUCACUGCUUUUGAAUCCCGACCGAGCGGGGCACUGCCGUGCUUUGUUUUCUUUGCCUUUAAGAGUGCAAUAGUCCACUAAUCAAAUUCUUUCAUCAAAAGAGUGUUGGGACAAAUCCCUGACAUCGUCCUUCCACUGUGAUUUGGAGAUGACCUCCACCCAGGUUUCACUUCCGUUGUACCCAGCUCUCGUCUUAUUUUUGUCCCUCAUUUUGUGAAUUUAUCCUCUCACUACGCUUGAUAACUAACCUUGGCGCAAACCCACAACUGUGGUGACGCAAAUCAGGUUGGAACUUGGCAUCGUUGUGUGCGGGCAGUGAGGGACUUACUGUAAAAACUGGGGCCUUCAUAAAGGCGUUCUUAUUUGCAAU
ensembl:lncRNA novel transcript